GCCGGAGUGGCGAAAUUGGUAUACGCACCAGACUCAAAAUCUGGCGAGGGCAACUUCAUGUCGGUUCGAGUCCGACCUCCGGCA
rnacentral:tRNA from 1 species